rnacentral:misc_RNA from 1 species
GAUGAAGAACGUAGCGAAAUGCGAUAAGUAAUGUGAAUUGCAGAAUUCAGUGAAUCAUCGAAUCUUUGAACGCACAUUGCGCCCCUUGGUAUUCCGAGGGGCAUGCCUGUUCGAGCGUCAUUACACCACUCAAGCACUGCUUGGUAUUGGGCACUCGUCCGUCGAAAGACGGGCGUGCCUCGAAGACCUCGGCGGGGUUUCUCCAACUUCGGGCGUAGUAGAGUUAAAUCAAAACGUCUUAUAAGCUUGGUGAAAUCUCAUUGCCGUUAAACCUUUUUUUUUUCAGGUUGACCUCGGAUCAGGUAGGGAUACCCGCUGAACUUAAGCAUAUCAAUAAGCGGAGGA